UCUGGCCGGAGGGGAGGAGUUCUGGGCAAGGGAGUUCCAGAUCUGCGAAGAGGGGCCGGAGAGAGGAAGAGAAACCAGAGAAGGGGGCCAGAUCCGAGCAGGAAGGAGGCGCCGUCGACGCUGCUCGAACCCCCCGACGCCGUCGCUGCACCGGAUCUCCGCCGCGUCGCUGUCGCCCGCCAGCAUCUGCUCCAGCGUAGCCCCGACGCUGUCCCGGAGACAAAUCCCUACUGUCUGUCGCUGUCGCAGCAGCUGACGCCAUCUCGCCGACCAGCAACGCCGCCGUGCCGUACCCUCGCUACGAACAGGUGACAAGC
rnacentral:lncRNA from 1 species